UACGUAGGUGUCAAGCGUUGUCCGGAUUUAUUGGGCGUAAAGCGUCCGCAGGUGGACAUACAAGUCUGCUGUCAAAGUGCAGAGCUUAACUCUGCAAAGGCGGUGGAAACUGUAGGUCUUGAGUAUGGUAGGGGUAGAGGGAAUUCCCGGUGUAGCGGUGAAAUGCGUAGAUAUCGGGAAGAACACCAGUGGCGAAAGCGCUCUACUGGGCCAUAACUGACACUGAGGGACGAAAGCUAGGGGAGCGAAAGGG
rnacentral:rRNA from 1 species